GACGGAGGAUGCAAGUGUUAUCCGGAAUCACUGGGCGUAAAGCGUCUGUAGGUGGUUUAAUAAGUCAACUGUUAAAUCUUGAGGCUCAACCUCAAAAUCGCAGUCGAAAACUAUUAGGCUAGAGUAUAGUAGGGGUAAAGGGAAUUUCCAGUGGAGCGGUGAAAUGCGUAGAGAUCGGAAAGAACACCAACGGCGAAAGCACUCUGCUGGGCCGACACUGACACUGAGAGACGAAAGCUAGGGGAGCGAAUGGG
rnacentral:rRNA from 1 species